AAAUUUGAAGGAAUUUUCCAUUAUUUUUUUUUAACAGGUAUUUGUAUUUUAUUUUAAAUUUUACGCAUUGCAUCAUGGGAACAAGAAACUUUGCGAAGCGCGAAAACUGGUCAGAGAACAUUUCAAGCUCUGGCUAACCGGACCCCAGAACAUCUAUCUUUUGGACUCCGGUUGGAUUAAGAGUUGGAAUAAUCUUUCUGGCACCUCCGUGAAAGUGGACAUACUGUCGAUAUAACCACACAGCAAAAAAAGAGACCUUUUCAGGAAACAACAUCAGCUGCAGCAGCAAUGGGGACCUAUUGAAGUACACGCUGAAACAUUGUUUUGUCAGCGUCAUAUUUCUCGCCUUGUUUUACGGAUUUGCCAGCAUUAUUGCUCCUCUUACCAUGGACCCUCCACCAUAAACGCAGUUUCUGUCCCAGGACGUGAAGAUGAGGGAAGACAAAUACAGGAAGUGAAGAAUGUGCUGAUUGUCCUGCAGAAUAAGAUGGACUACCUACUUCCAUCAGGAGAUUUGUUGCCCAACUUUGCUAAUAUCACAAGGGGAGGACUCGCCUAAAUCCAGGAGAGUGCUGGGCCUUUGAAGGUUCCCAGGGACAUUUAGCCAUCACCUUGUCUCACAGAGUCGUUAUCAGUCACGUCACCUUGGGUCACCUGCCUAACAUGUUGUCCCCGACUGGUAACACCUGGAGUGCUCCCAAGGAGUUUUCUGUUUAUGUAAGCCACAGAUAUCUGAAUAUUAAACAGCAGCACUCAGUCUAACUUUCAAAGAUAUUUAUAAAGAUAUUUGUCUAAUUUUGUUUUGCAGGAAAUGAGGGAGUACGAACCUGGACUCACCUGGGAACUUUUUUGUAUGAGGAGGAUGGAGAUCAACACCAGCUGAGCUGGGUCUGUGUAUUUUCAGGUAGCUCUCUUUUUUCGUUUGGAAAAAAAAGAACUGCCUUGAUAACAAGAAUACACUCGUUUUUUCGUUUAUUAAAUCAAACUCGGAAAUCGAAUAACGGCUCGUAACAAUUAAUGUCUCGCUUAUUUGGAAAUUCGAACCAAGAGGGUUGUCACAAAAUCAUAAAAAGAUGAAAGAAGACAAUGAAAAAAAAGUACAACUAAUAGGACAUGCAUUUUGUGUAGCAUAGACAACACAUUCUGUAGAGAAGUUUGUUUUUAUUUGUAAUCAUACCAUGAGUGAACAUAUCUUAUGAAAUAGAGACCAGAACAAGAGAGCAGUCCAGAUGUCAUGCAUGGGUACAACUUCGACAACCAAGACUUACUGCUAGCCCUUUCCAUGAUGCUUGCAGAGAAGUCUGCUGCCACAGCACUGGCAUCUAGGAUGAUCAGAGGGUCUACUAGACAAACUGCCGUCAUGAAGCGUGGUCUGCAGAUGGAGUCUGAGGUGCUGGCAAACUAUGCUGAGAUAUUGAGGGUCAAUGUGCUCCCUGUGAGAUUCAUUGUUCACCCUGACACAUCAUAUCUUGGUGCAACUCCAGUAGGCAAGCUGUAUAUCCUGUCAGAAUCACCCCCGAUUGGACUGGUUGAGGUAAAAAGCAGUAUGAAGAAUGAUGUGUCUCAGGUUGCUCACCUCAAGGUUCAGGAUGGCCAUGCCAUUUUGAGGCGUUCACACGCAUACUCCUGGCAGGUACAGGGUCAGCUGGCAAUCACCGGAUUGGAAUGGUGCAACUUUGUCACGGACACGCUAACAACAGUAACUGUUGAGCGGGUGUGGCGUGAUGAGUCUUUCAUUGAUCAAAUGAAAUCUAAACUAGACUUAUUUUACUUCAACACCUUCAUUGAUGUGUUCAUGUCAAUGCAAUAAGAAUUAUAAAAUGUGUAAUUUA